rnacentral:piRNA from 1 species
UAAAAGAUGCUUAAGUGCUGUAAGAGCAAUA